UUAAGCGACUAAGCGUACACGGUGGAUGCCCUGGCAGUCAGAGGCGAUGAAGGACGUGCUAAUCUGCGAAAAGCGUCGGUAAGGUGAUAUGAACCGUUACAGCCGGCGAUGUCCGAAUGGGGAAACCCAGUGCAAUUCGUUGCACUAUCGUUAACUGAAUACAUAGGUUAACGAGGCGAACCGGGGGAACUGAAACAUCUAAGUACCCCGAGGAAAAGAAAUCAACCGAGAUUCCCCCAGUAGCGGCGAGCGAACGGGGAGCAGCCCAGAGUCUGAAUCAGCUUGUGUGUUAGUGGAACGGUCUGGAAAGUCCGACGGUACAGGGUGAUAGUCCCGUACACCAAAAUGCACAGGUUGUGAACUCGAAGAGUAGGGCGGGACACGUGGUAUCCUGUCUGAAUAUGGGGGGACCAUCCUCCAAGGCUAAAUACUCCUGACUGACCGAUAGUGAACCAGUACCGUGAGGGAAAGGCGAAAAGAACCCCGGCGAGGGGAGUGAAAAAGAACCUGAAACCGUGUACGUACAAGCAGUGGGAGCACCUUCGGGUGUGACUGCGUACCUUUUGUAUAAUGGGUCAGCGACUUAUAUUCUGUAGCAAGGUUAACCGUAUAGGGGAGCCGCAGGGAAACCGAGUCUUAACUGGGCGUUAAGUUGCAGGGUAUAGACCCGAAACCCGGUGAUCUAGCCAUGGGCAGGUUGAAGGUUGGGUAACACUAACUGGAGGACCGAACCGACUAAUGUUGAAAAAUUAGCGGAUGACUUGUGGCUGGGGGUGAAAGGCCAAUCAAACCGGGAGAUAGCUGGUUCUCCCCGAAAGCUAUUUAGGUAGCGCCUCGUGAACUCAUCUUCGGGGGUAGAGCACUGUUUCGGCUAGGGGGUCAUCCCGACUUACCAACCCGAUGCAAACUACGAAUACCGAAGAAUGUUAUCACGGGAGACACACGGCGGGUGCUAACGUCCGUCGUGAAGAGGGAAACAACCCAGACCGCCAGCUAAGGUCCCAAAGUCAUGGUUAAGUGGGAAACGAUGUGGGAAGGCACAGACAGCCAGGAUGUUGGCUUAGAAGCAGCCAUCAUUUAAAGAAAGCGUAAUAGCUCACUGGUCGAGUCGGCCUGCGCGGAAGAUGUAACGGGGCUAAACCAUGCACCGAAGCUGCGGCAGCGACACUAUGUGUUGUUGGGUAGGGGAGCGUUCUGUAAGCCUGCGAAGGUGUGCUGUGAGGCAUGCUGGAGGUAUCAGAAGUGCGAAUGCUGACAUAAGUAACGAUAAAGCGGGUGAAAAGCCCGCUCGCCGGAAGACCAAGGGUUCCUGUCCAACGUUAAUCGGGGCAGGGUGAGUCGACCCCUAAGGCGAGGCCGAAAGGCGUAGUCGAUGGGAAACAGGUUAAUAUUCCUGUACUUGGUGUUACUGCGAAGGGGGGACGGAGAAGGCUAUGUUAGCCGGGCGACGGUUGUCCCGGUUUAAGCAUGUAGGCUGAUUGUCCAGGCAAAUCCGGAUAAUCAAGGCUGAGGUGUGAUGACGAGGCACUACGGUGCUGAAGUAACAAAUGCCCUGCUUCCAGGAAAAGCCUCUAAGCAUCAGGUAACAUUAAAUCGUACCCCAAACCGACACAGGUGGUCAGGUAGAGAAUACCAAGGCGCUUGAGAGAACUCGGGUGAAGGAACUAGGCAAAAUGGUGCCGUAACUUCGGGAGAAGGCACGCUGGUGUGUAGGUGAAGUCCCUGCGGAUGGAGCUGAGACCAGUCGAAGAUACCAGCUGGCUGCAACUGUUUAUUAAAAACACAGCACUGUGCAAACACGAAAGUGGACGUAUACGGUGUGACGCCUGCCCGGUGCCGGAAGGUUAAUUGAUGGGGUUAUCCGUAAGGAGAAGCUCUUGAUCGAAGCCCCGGUAAACGGCGGCCGUAACUAUAACGGUCCUAAGGUAGCGAAAUUCCUUGUCGGGUAAGUUCCGACCUGCACGAAUGGCGUAAUGAUGGCCAGGCUGUCUCCACCCGAGACUCAGUGAAAUUGAACUCGCUGUGAAGAUGCAGUGUACCCGCGGCAAGACGGAAAGACCCCGUGAACCUUUACUAUAGCUUGACACUGAACAUUGAGCCUUGAUGUGUAGGAUAGGUGGGAGGCUUUGAAGCGUGGACGCCAGUCUGCGUGGAGCCAACCUUGAAAUACCACCCUUUAAUGUUUGAUGUUCUAACGUUGGCCCCUGACCGGGGUUGCGGACAGUGUCUGGUGGGUAGUUUGACUGGGGCGGUCUCCUCCCAAAGCGUAACGGAGGAGCACGAAGGUUAGCUAAUCCUGGUCGGACAUCAGGAGGUUAGUGCAAUGGCAUAAGCUAGCUUGACUGCGAGCGUGACGGCGCGAGCAGGUGCGAAAGCAGGUCAUAGUGAUCCGGUGGUUCUGAAUGGAAGGGCCAUCGCUCAACGGAUAAAAGGUACUCCGGGGAUAACAGGCUGAUACCGCCCAAGAGUUCAUAUCGACGGCGGUGUUUGGCACCUCGAUGUCGGCUCAUCACAUCCUGGGGCUGAAGUAGGUCCCAAGGGUAUGGCUGUUCGCCAUUUAAAGUGGUACGCGAGCUGGGUUUAGAACGUCGUGAGACAGUUCGGUCCCUAUCUGCCGUGGGCGCUGGAGAAUUGAGGGGGGCUGCUCCUAGUACGAGAGGACCGGAGUGGACGCAUCACUGGUGUUCGGGUUGUCAUGCCAAUGGCACUGCCCGGUAGCUAAAUGCGGAAGAGAUAAGUGCUGAAAGCAUCUAAGCACGAAACUUGCCCCGAGAUGAGUUCUCCCUGAGACUUUAAGUCUCCUGAAGGAACGUUGAAGACGACGACGUUGAUAGGCCGGGUGUGUAAGCGCAGCGAUGCGUUGAGCUAACCGGUACUAAUGAACCGUGAGGCUUAACCUU
rnacentral:rRNA from 2 species